rnacentral:lncRNA from 1 species
UAUCCCCUUUUCGUCAUUCUCUUCCUCCAAACUACGCCCUGCAGCUUCGUCGUGCCUUACCACCAUAUCACAUACGUCAACACCGUCUUCGAGAUGGUUAGCAGCUACCGUGUAGAAGAAGUGGUCGGUCACAACUGGUUAGUGCCUCUCUCAAGAUUUCUCCUUCUUAGGUUUAGGUUUUGCCUUUGCAUUUUCUAGCUCCUUUGAAACCCUAGGAAUGUUAGUAGUUGCUGGAAUUUGGAUUUCUUUAUCGUGAAAUGAUAAUUUAAUCAUGUAGUGAAGGUUUAGCUUUUAUCUUCUUCCAACAUGCCAUCUAAUUUUCAAUUAUCUGUUUCACCACCACCAGAGACUUUGCCCAAAAUCAAAGAAACCCUAAGGUGAUGUUUUGAAUAUUUGCUUAUAUAACAUUUGUAUUGAUUUCCUUAAUAAAAAAAUUGGUAAUGCAGAUUAAAUUGAAGCUGAUGCCUUUCCAUGUUUGUUGCUGUUACUAGUAAAUACUGCUUAUUUGUUAUUAAUAAAAACAUUGCUUCCCAUGUUGGUCAAAAUGAGUGAUGCUUCUUUGUUACUAAUAAAUAUAUGCCUCCUUCAUUCAUUGCACAGUAGAGAAACAAGAAUAAAUAAAGAUUAGUGUUGGUGGCUAUUUCAAGAUCAUUGGGAGAGGGUCUAGUCCAUGAGAGUGUCCUACCAAGUACACAAUGUAGGUAUGAAAACAGAGUAUCUAUCCAUGUUUAUGUUACAUUUCUUGAAUAGAUUAACACUGAAAAUAGUUGAAUAAGAAACAGUGGUGGAGGAAUGCAAUACAGAGCUUGCUUUCCUUUCUAAGGGCAUUAGUGGGUUCUUGCAAGAAAGUGCACAGAAGUAAAUAUGAUUUUUCUUUUCUCCUCUUUCCCUUUUUAUUUAUCAUGGUAUCAUUUAAUAAUAAUUUAUCAUAUAAAUUAUUGUAAGUUUUUUUGUUAUUCCUUUCUCUUCACUGUACUUUCAAAGAAAUUAAUGUCCCUCAUUUGUUACAUCCAACCCAAUUCUUCUUAAUUCCAUAGUAACAUUCAAUAAUUAGUCAAAUACAACAUCAAAUAACC